rnacentral:rRNA from 1 species
ACAACCUGCCUUCGAGUGGGGAAUAACCUUCCGAAAGGAGGGCUAAUACCGCAUAACACCUCGGAGCACAAGUUCUGGGGUUGAAAAGAGCAAUUUGCUCGAAGAGGGGUCCGCGCCUGAUUAGCUAGUUGGUGAGGUAACGGCUCACCAAGGCUUCGAUCAGUAGCCGUCCUGAGAGGGAGCACGGCCACACUGGAACUGAGACACGGUCCAGACUCCUACGGGAGGCAGCAGUGGGGAAUUUUUGGCAAUGGGCGAAAGCCUGACCAAGCAACGCCGCGUGGGUGAUGAAGUAUCUUGGUACGUAAAACCCUUUCGGCAGGGACGAACCUAAUGACGGUACCUGCGGAAGAAGCCCCGGCUAACUCCGGGCCAGCAGCCGCGGUAAUACGGGGGGGGCAAGCGUUGUUCGGAAUUACUGGGCGUAAAGGGCGCGUAGGCGGUUGGAUAAGUCAGCUGUGAAAACCACGGGCUUAACUCGUGGCCUGCAGUUGAGACUGUCUGGCUUGAGUGUGGGAGAGGAGAGUGGAAUUCCUGGUGUAGCGGUGAAAUGCGUAGAUAUCAGGAGGAACACCGGUGGCGAAGGCGGCUCUCUGGACCACAACUGACGCUGAGGCGCGAAAGCUAGGGGAGCAAACAGGAUUAGAUACCCUGGUAGUCCUAGCUGUAAACGAUGGAUACU